GAUGAACGCUGGCGGCGUGCCUAAUACAUGCAAGUCGAGCGAACGGACGAGAAGCUUGCUCCUCUGACGUUAGCGGCGGACGGGUGAGUAACACGUGGAUAACCUACCUAUAAGACUGGGAUAACUUCGGGAAACCGGAGCUAAUACCGGAUAAUAUAUUGAACCGCAUGGUUCAAUAGUGAAAGACGGUUUUGCUGUCACUUAUAGAUGGAUCCGCGCCGCAUUAGCUAGUUGGUAAGGUAACGGCUUACCAAGGCAACGAUGCGUAGCCGACCUGAGAGGGUGAUCGGCCACACUGGAACUGAGACACGGUCCAGACUCCUACGGGAGGCAGCAGUAGGGAAUCUUCCGCAAUGGGCGAAAGCCUGACGGAGCAACGCCGCGUGAGUGAUGAAGGUCUUCGGAUCGUAAAACUCUGUUAUUAGGGAAGAACAAAUGUGUAAGUAACUGUGCACGUCUUGACGGUACCUAAUCAGAAAGCCACGGCUAACUACGUG
rnacentral:rRNA from 1 species